UCCUCACAAGUGUAGUUAAGUCCCAAAUACUCGCGCCGAUUAUCUCCAGGCUUCAGGGGCUAUAUGCACUUUCACUUGUUCCGGGAGGCGGGCUUACGGCCGUUGAACGUAAUGACACGUUUCGCCGACGUGCUCAGCUUCAUCACAUCCGCCCACUUGUCCAUCACAGUCUCAAUAUAAGGCAUAAAAAAGGGGCGUGGCUGCCCAAAAGGUCCGUGAAUUCUGCCUUGUGAUAGGUUAUCUUAACCAGGCAUAUUACCAUACAUAAUAGAUGCCAUUUCCUACUUGAAUCGAACUAAAAGGGAACUAUUCACUAAAAUGUUUACA